AUUCUGCCGCCCAUUUUACCCGCGGGGAAGCUGAGGCCCAGUGCUGUUUAAUAUCUUACUCAUGUUCACUUGAUGAGAAAGUGACAGAUCUGAGACAAACCCAGAAAGGGACCAGCUUGACGAAGCUUCUGCUUUUGUGACUGUCUCCUAAUGCACCGCCGGCUCCUACAAGCAGGCCCUGGAGAAGCCACUUCACCUCCGCGUCUCAGGCCACUCACCUCCAAAGACAGAUGCAAACUCCGCCUCCCUCCUCGGUGAGAGUUUGAGAUUCCAAAUACGAUUUCUGUGGAGAAAACAAAAAAGGACUCUGUUUUUAAUUCAAAAGGGAGAAGUGAAAUUCUACCUCACUUUUUUAAAAGAAGAGCCUGGAAUUGGCCUAUCCGUCUUUUUCCCCGUUGGAUCACAGAGCAGAAAGGAAGGUGGGCGUUUGUGUUCUGGGUGUUGUCCACGCUGGACGUGCCAGCAUCUCCCACUGAGCCAGAUGUUCCAGGGCUAAGGCCAGUUUCAUUUGAAGGCACAGCCUUACUAUAUCAUCUAAGACCUCUAGUACAGUGUUCAAUGGAACUGGUGAGAAAAGACGUCCUUGCUGUGUUCCUGAUAUGAAGAGGAAAGCAGUCCUUCUCCAUUAAGUAAAGAACAUGGAGGGAGCUGGAGUCCAUUUUCCUAAGUGAACUAACACAGGAACAGAAAACCAAAGACUGUAGGUUCUCACUUAUAAGUGGGAGUUAAAUGGUGAGAACACGUGGAUACAUAGAGUGGAACAACACAUACUGGAGCCUAUUGAAGGGUGGAGGGUGGGAAGAGGGAGAGGAUCCAGAAAAAUAACUAUUGGUACUCAGCUUAAUACCUGGGUGAUGAAAUAAUCUAUACAACAAACCCCCAUGUUACAAGCUUACCUAUACUACAAACUUGUACAUGUACCCCUGAACUUAAAAAUUAAAUUUAAAAAAUUGCUUUUA
ensembl:lncRNA MIR646HG MIR646 host gene